rnacentral:rRNA from 1 species
GAUCCUGGCUCAGGAUGAACGCUAGCUACAGGCUUAACACAUGCAAGUCGAGGGGCAGCAUGAACUUAGCUUGCUAAGUUGAUGGCGACCGGCGCACGGGUGAGUAACACGUAUCCAACCUUCCGUUUACUCAGGGAUAGCCUUUCGAAAGAAAGAUUAAUACCUGAUAGUAUGGUGAGAUUGCAUGAUAACACCAUUAAAGAUUUAUUGGUAAACGAUGGGGAUGCGUUCCAUUAGGUAGUAGGCGGGGUAACGGCCCACCUAGCCGACGAUGGAUAGGGGUUCUGAGAGGAAGGUCCCCCACAUUGGAACUGAGACACGGUCCAAACUCCUACGGGAGGCAGCAGUGAGGAAUAUUGGUCAAUGGACGAGAGUCUGAACCAGCCAAGUAGCGUGCAGGAUGACGGCCCUAUGGGUUGUAAACUGCUUUUAUAAGGGAAUAAAGUGAGUCUCGUGAGACUUUUUGCAUGUACCUUAUGAAUAAGGACCGGCUAAUUCCGUG